rnacentral:lncRNA from 1 species
AAUGCAUACGCCGAACUUCUCUUUAGGCAAUUUGCCAUCAACAGAAAACUGAUUAAACCGGUUCUCAAUAGAUCUCCAUGAAUCUCUUUCCUUUCCCGUGACCGUCCGAUCAAGGAACCGUAAGCUCUGGAGUCCCCUAGCAGCGCUAGAUGUUGUCCUCUCUACUCUUUGUGGACCCUUCUUUGGAAGGACCGCGGCACCUGGAGGGCCCAGGUUACCGCUUUUCCUCGUGCUUGGCGAGCCAAGAUUACCGCUCUUUCUCCAGUUCGAAACGCUCAUAAAAUGUUGGUCUAUGAUCCCUAAAAUUUUAAAAAUGAUUUACAUUAACAUAGACCUCCAAUUUGUAAUGAUUUUUUUAUUAAAACUUUGACUAAAUUGUUUAUUAAAUCCGGUUAAUGUUAAUUAGAUAUACCAGUUGGUUUAGUUUCCUUUUGCUAAACCGAUGUAAUAUAUAAAGAAUCCCAUGUAACAAACUUUGAUUAUCAUACUAAUUCAUUUUACUCAAUAUUGUUUAUCCAGAAUCUCAUGAGCUAUCUCUAGAACAGACGGCAUAUUCAAAAAAUCUAUUUGUAUGAAUCUGCAAUAAGAGAUGAUAAAUUUGAUAAAUAAUUGUUCCGAUAAUCACGAUAAUUUUUUGGAUAUUUAUAUGUAAUAGUACGUUGUUAAAACUAUUCUCUAGACUUCGACGCUAACCAAAACGGAUAUAAAUUUUGAAAAAGAAAAGAAAGUUAAACCUCGAUGUAUCCCUUGUGAUCAGGAUCGAGUUCUUCCAUGAUCAAAGAAGCGUAAGCGGCAGCAUUUUUUUUAAGGUUCCCUAGGCGGUUAGCGGCUGCGCUCAAGACAAUGACUUCUUUCACUUCAUCUUCCGUGAGCUUCCCAUCUCCGUCCUUGUCACACCUAAUCAACAACCACAACCGCAAAUUUUUAAACUAACCACAUUUAGAUAUAUGUGAAAACGUAUAAGAUUAUAUAAGUAAUUACAUGUCGAAGAAUAUCUGGAGACGACAAUCGAGAUCUUUCUUGAUCAUGUCUUCCCAAAACAGCUUAAGUUGUUCUUUGUCAAUACCACUUUCUGUCUCUAUUUGCCUUCUCCGACCCAAUGCCUCAUAAACUUCUCCCGCAAACUCCAUUGUAUCUCCCAUUCCUACCAAUAUAUGCACUAUCGACGUUAUACAUUUUAUUUCCUAACAAAAAAGGUGAUAAUAUAAUGCAUGGAAUGAACAUUUAAUCUAAUGCAUGGAAUUAACCUUUACACACACACAAAUAAAUGAAAAUCAGAUGUACAUAUCCAUUGGUAUUAGUCUGCCAAGCCCCAAAGCCGGCCAUGAGUAUAUCAAAAGAAACAUUCGCAUAUAGCCCCAAAAUAUUAAUGGUUAAUAAUUUUAUAUCACCUGACUUCUAAAUAAUUUAAAAAUAAUAUAUGUUUAGCAAUAGUUUCAAACUCCAUAAAUUUCAGGGUUAGUCCUGUCCAAGCCCUAUCAAUUAUUGGUAGUUUCGUUAAUUACCAAUGCAUACGCCGAACUUCUCUUUAGGCAAUUUGCCAUCAACAGAAAACUGAUUAAACCGGUUCUCAAUAGAUCUCCAUGAAUCUCUUUCCUUUCCCGUGACCGUCCGAUCAAGGAACCGUAAGCUCUGGAGUCCCCUAGCAGCGCUAGAUGUUGUCCUCUCUACUCUUUGUGGACCCUUCUUUGGAAGGACCGCGGCACCUGGAGGACCCAGGUUACCGCUUUUCCUCGUGCUUGGCGAGCCAAGAUUACCGCUCUUUCUCCAGUUCGAAACGCUCAGCGUGCGGAUUAUCGAUCCCACACCCCUUGACGCAGUCUUCUUCAGACCACCUUCGUUCUUCUUGACGUUAAUGUCUGG